rnacentral:rRNA from 1 species
GAUGAACGCUAGCGGCAGGCUUAAUACAUGCAAGUCGUGGGGCAGCACAAAUAGCAAUAUUGGGUGGCGACCGGCAAACGGGUGCGGAACACGUACGCAACCUUCCUUCGAGCGGGGAAUAGCCCAGAGAAAUUUGGAUUAAUACCCUAUAAUAUUUUGAGAUGGCAUCAUCUUAUUAUUAAAGCUCCGGCACUUGAAGAUGGGCGUGCGCCUGAUUAGGUAGNGGUCGGGGUAAUGGCCCACCAAGCCUUCGAUCAGUAACUGGUGUGAGAGCAUGACCAGUCACACGGGCACUGAGACACGGGCCCGACUCCUACGGGAGGCAGCAGUAAGGAAUAUUGGGCAAUGGACGCAAGUCUGACCCAGCCAUGCCGCGUGGAGGAUGAAGGUCCUCUGGAUUG